GGAAAACAGAAAAUCCAGUUACACAAAUACUAAGGACUAAACUGUAUAAACCCAUCAGAAACUGCUCAGCAGUUAAGAGUACCUGCUGCCCUUGCAGAGGACGGGGAUUUGAUUCCCACACACCUGGUACCUCACAACCAUCUGUAACUCCAGUUCCAGGGGAUCUGACGCCCUCCCCUGGCCUCUGCAGGCAUUGCAUGCACACGGUGCAGACAAACCUAACUUAAAUAAGUACAUUCUAAAAAUGAAGUCCAUCCGUAGAUGAGUAAAAAUCACGCUCCACGUUGGGAUGUGUGAGCUUUGCUCUAGGAACAAGGCUUCUCUUUUCUCUGCAGCAAUUCUAGAUGUAAAUCGCCACUUUGUUCUCCUGCUUGCUCUCACACUCCUCUUUGAUCAUGACUUCACACAAUGAAAAGAUACUUCCUUGUGCAAAGCAAGCAAGUGGUUAGCUUCGCAUAACCCUGGACAACAAAGGCUCUCUGUGAGGAUGAGGAAUUCCUCUGAGAAGACAGGGAAGGCCCCCAGCUGAACCGUAUCCAAGGAAGAUGUUGCAAAGCUUGCAGAGCUUGUUGGGAGAAAGGAACCCUGCGUGAGUUCUUUUCUUGCUGUUCAGAUGCUGGCCUUUCGUA
rnacentral:lncRNA from 1 species